CUGCGGGCGCGUGUAUAGGCAUGCAGUCGAACGGCGGCGGGGAGGUAGCAAUACUUCCCCGCCGUAGUGGCGGAAGGGCGAGGAACGCAUGGGCAAUCUGUCCCGAGGGUGGGGAUAACGCCGGGAAACUGGCGCUAAUACCGAAUGUUCCGUACGGGCCGCAUGGCCCGUCCGGCAAAGGCGGGGACCGCAAGGCCUGCCCCCUGGGGAGGAGCCCGUGUGCCAUCAGCUUGUUGGCGGGGUAACGGCCCACCAAGGCUUACGGCUAGCUGGUCUGAGAGGACGACCAGCCGCACUGGGACUGAGACACUGCCCAGACUCCUACGGGAGGCUGCAGUCGAGGAUCAUUCGCAAUGGGCGAAAGCCUGACGAUGCGACGCUGCGUGGAGGAUGAAGGCCUUCGGGUUGUAAACUCCUGUCAUGAGGGAAGAGGAGAGUGUCACUAACAUUGACGCGAUUUGACGGUACCUCAAGAGGAAGCCACGGCUAACUCUGUGCCAGCAGCCGCGGUAAUACAGAGGUGGCGAGCGUUGUUCGGAUUUACUGGGCGUAAAGGGCGCGUAGGCUGCGCGGUAUGUAGGGUGUGAAAUCUCCGGGCCCAACCCGGAAAGUGCGCCCUAAACUGCCGCGCUCGAGUGCGGGAGGGGAGAUCGGAAUGCAUGGUGUAGCGGUGAAAUGCGUUGAUAUCAUGCAGAACACCGGUGGCGAAGGCGGAUCUCUGGAACGCAACUGACGCUGAGGCGCGAAAGUCGGGGGAGCAAACAGGAUUAGAUACCCUGGUAGUCCCGACCUUAAACGGUGCACACUUGGGGGUGGGGGGAU
rnacentral:rRNA from 1 species